CGACGGUGCGUCCAAGCACAACCUUGAGAGUGGUCACUGCUCCAGCUGCUGGGCUCUGUCUACUGUAACUGCUUUAAGAAAGUAAUGGGAUGAGGAAGUUGGAGUGGUGUUCAACGUCCUAGGUUCUGUAGCCUUCACCCAAUCAAGCUCUUGUCUUCCAUCAAUGUUUGCUGUGAAGCUCUUGUGCAGAUUGGCCUGAACCUGCCCAGCCCGGGGAGAACCGAUGUUGGCUCCACGGGAAAGGUCAGUCAAGAGUGACUGGAGUCACAGAUAGAGAUAAAGGUGUACUCCCCACUGACAGAGGACUCCUCCUGCCACACAUCAGGCCCUAGGCACAAAGAGCAACUCAUCCCACUCACAGAAAGACCGAGUCCUUCAAGAAUUCCAGUCCCGAAGGGCAGUGGUGGCGCACGCCUUUAAUCCCAGUACUUGGGAG